GGUAACAAGUGUGCCACAUGUCACCAGAUCUUGCAUUUGGACCAUUGACCUCUUAGCCACUUUUGAUGUUCCCCAUUUCAGCCAAAUUCUUCCCACACGAACCAGUACUCUCUCUGCCUUGCUCAGUCAAACUCGAGUCUUCUUCUUCCCUCUUCUCAAUCUUCUCCGACCCUCCAACCUUCGCCGCUGCCGCCGUCUCUCUCUUCGGCAUCACAGCUUCCCCAACUUCCAU
rnacentral:lncRNA from 1 species